rnacentral:rRNA from 1 species
CCUACGGGUGGCAGCAGUCGAGAAUCUUUCACAAUGGGGGAAACUCUGAUGGUGCGACGCCGCGUGGGGGAAUGAAGGUCUACGGAUUGUAAACUCCUGUCAUGUGGGAGCAAAUCAAAAAGAUAGUACCACAAUAGGAAGAGACGGCUAACUCUGUGCCAGCAGCCGCGGUAAUACAGAGGUCUCAAGCGUUGUUCGGAAUCACUGGGCGUAAAGCGUGCGUAGGCUGUUUCGUAAGUCGUGUGUGAAAGGUGCGGGCUCAACCCGCGGACGGCACAUGAUACUGCGAGACUAGAGUAAUGGAGGGGGAACCGGAAUUCUCGGUGUAGCAGUGAAAUGCGUAGAUAUCGAGAGGAACACUCGUGGCGAAGGCGGGUUCCUGGACAUUAACUGACGCUGAGGCACGAAGGCGAGGGGAGCGAAAGGGAUUAGAUACCCCAGUAGUC